GGCCUGUGUGAACCCAAAUCUGCCCUCCUCUGAAACUCUCGCUGCAGACAUCGCACCCCACUGUUUUUCAAUUUCAUCUUCUUAUUUAUUCACUCAACCAAUAUUUAUUUACCAAAGCACUAUGAGGCCCAGUUAAGAAUGUGUGGUCCUCGAUCUGACAGCCUGGAUUCAAAUCCCUGUUGCCCCACAACUCUCCACACUAGCUGUGUGGCCUUGCAAAUUUCACUCAACCUCUCAGGGACUCAGUUUCCUUGAUUGUCAAAUGGGAGUAAUGACAUUUCCUACCUCAUUGACUUGUUGGGAGGUAGCAUUGAGUUAUCCCAUGCCGCACCCGCUCCCUUGUAAACUCUGGAUAAUUACCGAGCUUUCUUAUAAGUGCAGCUCAUGGAUCACUCAAGGCACUGGGAAUAUAGCAAUCACAACAAAGAUUCUAGUCAUGGGAGAUGGUCACCUAACAAAUUAAAAACUAAGGCAUUUGUUAAAGGACUGAAUGACCAAGAUUAGCGUUCCAAGGAAAAGUAUGGCGCUCUGGAGUGGUCAGGAGAGCCUCUGUCACUGAGUAGCAGUGUGGCCCUGUCCAAGCUCCUGGCCUGGCUAGGCCUCAUGCCCAUGUCUGCAUGGCAAGUGCCUGGAACCGGAUGGCCAUGGCAGCUUUUGCUCUGUGAAAGCCCAACUGCUCCCCUGGACUGCUCCCAUGUUUUCUGUCUCCACCGAGCAAGCCUCUUUCAAAGCCCUAGAGAGAGACCUGGGUCCCCAGCACCCUCUCCUGGAGGAGAUCUGGACUGAAAUGUUUGGGACGCCUCCCAUUCAAAUGCUCAAGUCUCCAAACCGCUGGGGAGGCGUUGCACAAGAGACAGGCAGGGGUUUCAGUUUCUGGCACUUGUUUGCUCAAAGGAUCUCAGCCUUCUUCUUCCUGACAUGCAGCUUAAACAUGUGAGCUGACCCUUAAAUGAAACCCCCACAGUUUUCCAUCUCCUUCCAAGAGAAUUUCACGGGGUGCAGGGAGAAUGGGGAGGACGUGAAACGUGGUGUAUCCUGCAGGAUUCACUCCCCCACUGACGGGACUAAAGGUUUCUGAAGCCUGAAAUAUUUUCAACUAAAUGAGAAAAUCUUUGCUGUUGAAUGGCCUAUUAGAGCUGUCACAAAUGUGAUUUCUGGAAAUAAACAAGAUUAUAAGAAGGCUGGCUGGCGCAGAAACUUUGGUAUUUCCUGGGAAAAGACUUUCAGAAAGUAGCAACGUUCAAAACAAAACAAAAAACUCGCACCAAUGCGCAGCUAUUCCUGCCUCCCACCUGAGGCCACUCCGUGCAGGGUCCCAUCUCGGAGGACAUUUUCUGAGACUGAUCUCAGCAAAGACAGGGGUGUUUGGAGCGUCUGCUGCAGUGACGACAAUGAAAGCCAAGUUGUUUAAACUGUAUUCUCAUUCAUUUUUAUUUGUUACGCUAAUGUCCCAUGGCGCUGAGUGCAGUGACAAGAUCACUUUAAAUAAACUGAAAUUCUGC
ensembl:lncRNA LINC02181 long intergenic non-protein coding RNA 2181